CCUACGGGGGGCAGCAGUGGGGAAUAUUGGACAAUGGGCGAAAGCCUGAUCCAGCCAUGCCGCGUGUGUGAAGAAGGCCUUCGGGUGGUAAAGCACUUUCAGUGGGGAAGAAAGCCUUGGGGCUAAUACCCUCGAGGAAGGACAUCACCCACAGAAGAAGCACCGGCUAACUCCGUGCCAGCAGCCGCGGUAAUACGGAGGGUGCGAGCGUUAAUCGGAAUUACUGGGCGUAAAGCGCGCGUAGGCGGUCUGAUAAGCCGGUUGUGAAAGCCCCGGGCUCAACCUGGGAACGGCAUCCGGAACUGUCAGGCUAGAGUGCAGGAGAGGAAGGUAGAAUUCCCGGUGUAGCGGUGAAAUGCGUAGAGAUCGGGAGGAAUACCAGUGGCGAAGGCGGCCUUCUGGACUGACACUGACGCUGAGGUGCGAAAGCGUGGGUAGCAAACAGGAUUAGAUACCCCAGUAGUC
rnacentral:rRNA from 1 species